GGUUAAGCGACUAAGCGUACACGGUGGAUGCCCUGGCAGUCAGAGGCGAUGAAGGACGUGCUAAUCUGCGAUAAGCGUCGGUGAGGUGAUAUGAACCGUUAUAACCGGCGAUUUCCGAAUGGGG
rnacentral:rRNA from 1 species